GAUGAACGCUGGCGGCGUGCCUAAUACAUGCAAGUCGAGCGAACGGACGAGAAGCUUGCUUCUCUGAUGUUAGCGGCGGACGGGUGAGUAACGCGUGGAUAACCUACCUAUAAGACUGGGAUAACUUCGGGAAACCGGAGCUAAUACCGGAUAAUAUUUUGAACCGCAUGGUUCAAAAGUGAAAGACGGUCUUGCUGUCACUUAUAGAUGGAUCCGCGCUGCAUUAGCUAGUUGGUAAGGUAACGGCUUACCAAGGCAACGAUGCAUAGCCGACCUGAGAGGGUGAUCGGCCACACUGGAACUGAGACACGGUCCAGACUCCUACGGGAGGCAGCAGUAGGGAAUCUUCCGCAAUGGGCGAAAGCCUGACGGAGCAACGCCGCGUGAGUGAUGAAGGUCUUCGGAUCGUAAAACUCUGUUAUUAGGGAAGAACAUAUGUGUAAGUAACUGUGCACAUCUUGACGGUACCUAAUCAGAAAGCCACGGCUAACUACGUGCCAGCAGCCGCGGUAAUACGUAGGUGGCAAGCGUUAUCCGGAAUUAUUGGGCGUAAAGCGCGCGUAGGCGGUUUUUUAAGUCUGAUGUGAAAGCCCACGGCUCAACCGUGGAGGGUCAUUGGAAACUGGAAAACUUGAGUGCAGAAGAGGAAAGUGGAAUUCCAUGUGUAGCGGUGAAAUGCGCAGAGAUAUGGAGGAACACCAGUGGCGAAGGCGACUUUCUGGUCUGUAACUGACGCUGAUGUGCGAAAGCGUGGGGAUCAAACAGGAUUAGAUACCCUGGUAGUCCACGCCGUAAACGAUGAGUGCUAAGUGUUAGGGGGUUUCCGCCCCUUAGUGCUGCAGCUAACGCAUUAAGCACUCCGCCUGGGGAGUACGACCGCAAGGUUGAAACUCAAAGGAAUUGACGGGGACCCGCACAAGCGGUGGAGCAUGUGGUUUAAUUCGAAGCAACGCGAAGAACCUUACCAAAUCUUGACAUCCUUUGACAACUCUAGAGAUAGAGCCUUCCCCUUCGGAGGACAAAGUGACAGGUGGUGCAUGGUUGUCGUCAGCUCGUGUCGUGAGAUGUUGGGUUAAGUCCCGCAGCGAGCGCAACCCUUAAGCUUAGUUGCCAUCAUUAAGUUGGGCACUCUAAGUUGACUGCCGGUGACAAACCGGAGGAAGGUGGGGAUGACGUCAAAUCAUCAUGCCCCUUAUGACUUGGGCUACACACGUGCUACAAUGGACAAUACAAAGGGCAGCGAAACCGCGAGGUCAAGCAAAUCCCAUAAAGUUGUUCUCAGUUCGGAUUGUAGUCUGCAACUCGACUACAUGAAGCUGGAAUCGCUAGUAAUCGUAGAUCAGCAUGCUACGGUGAAUACGUUCCCGGGUCU
rnacentral:rRNA from 1 species